UGAACAACUUAGUCUAGUGGAAGGUUCCCUGCCCAUGGCAACUGUGUUGAAGCAGGUUAUCUUUACGGUCCCUUCUAAAUGAAACCUCUCUAUGACUCUGUGAUUCUGUAGUUCCUUCCUAUCAUACAGCUUUCCAACUGCCUUCAGACUUUCCUUUCUGGCUGUGAAAUUUCUGCAGUUGAGAAAUAUUCUUUCUUUUUAUUUCUGGAGAAACUGCUACUUUAGGUUUUAUAAACACCAAAGUACCAUAUAGUCUCUGUGGUGAAUAUUUCUUCUAAAAGCAGAAGCUUUUGACAUGACAGCUGCACUGAAAAAAAGUAACUACAUGAAUUUUAUUCCACACUGAGAAAAAUAUCAUUAUUGCUUGAUAGAAAAAACUGUAAAAAUUCAGAUCCUGUAGUCUUUUACCUUUAGAGAAAACACUGAUUUAUCGUUGUAUAUUUCAUUGAUGCAGUUCUGUUUAUUUGCAGAGGCCAUGAGCCUGAUCAUAGAAAGAAAUAAACAGACAAUAUAUUUGCUCCUUCUUUCAAAGGAAUUCAUGGAGCAUUAUUCACUGUCAAGACUCUGGAUUAGAGUUCUUCUCCAAUUUUCAGAAAAAAAGAAGAUGACAUUUCAACUUUAGUUUCACGCAAGAUUCAAAUAUUUACUUCUAGACACAGGGAAGAUAAAGUGCUUUGAAAAUUCAGGAAUGAGGCCCAGGAUAUGUCGAUAUAUUAAUCACAAAACGUGUCAGGUUGGAAGUGACCACAGGGGUCAUCUAGUCCAACCUCCCUGCUCAAAGAGGGUCAUCCGAUGCCUCAUUGCACUGGACUGUGUCCAGAUAGUUCCUGAAUAUUUCCAAUGAGGAUUACUCCAUCACCUCUCUGGGAAAUUUGUUCUGGUGUGUGGUCACCAACACAAUAAAGAAGUUUUUCCUCAUA